AAGAGGUCCAGCCUGCCCAGUGACUAAGUUCAACGGCCGCGGUAUCCUAACCGUGCGAAGGUAGCGUAAUCACUUGUUCUUUAAAUGAGGACUAGUAUGAAUGGCACCACGAGGGUUAUACUGUCUCCUUUCUCUAAUCAAUGAAACUGAUCUCCCCGUGAAGAAGCGGGGAUAAAUUUAUAAGACGAGAAGACCCUAUGGAGCUUUAAACUACGUGACACUGGCUUAUAUUCUACUGUGUUUCAGAAUUAUCACAAUUAUACUAGCUAGUAUGAUUACUAGUUUUAGGUUGGGGUGACCACGGAGCAAAAAUUAACCUCCAUGAUGAACGGAACCUAUUCCUGAGCUAAAAGCUACAACUUUAAGCACUAACAAAUUAACAUUAAUUGACCCA
rnacentral:rRNA from 1 species